GUGAGGAAUAUUGGUCAAUGGGCGGGAGCCUGAACCAGCCAAGUCGCGUGAAGGAAGAAGGAUCUAUGGUUCGUAAACUUCUUUUGCAGGGGAAUAAAGUGCAGGACGUGUCCUGUUUUGUAUGUACCCUGAGAAUAAGGAUCGGCUAACUCCGUGCCAGCAGCCGCGGUAAUACGGAGGAUCCGAGCGUUAUCCGGAUUUAUUGGGUUUAAAGGGUGCGUAGGUGGUUUGAUAAGUCAGCGGUGAAAGUUUGCAGCUUAACUGUAAAAAUGCCGUUGAAACUGUCUGACUUGAGUGUAAAUGAGGUAGGCGGAAUGCGUGGUGUAGCGGUGAAAUGCAUAGAUAUCACGCAGAACUCCGAUUGCGAAGGCAGCUUACUAAGCUACAACUGACACUGAAGCACGAAAGCGUGGGGAUCAAACAGGAUUAGAAACCCGAGUAGUCC
rnacentral:rRNA from 1 species